GCCAGUCCUGGGGCUUGAACUCAGCUGGCACUCUACCACUUGAACCACAUUGCCACUUAUGUUCAACUUCUAUGGAAACAACCUACAUGGAAUGAAUAAAUCUCUUAAAGGGUAACAAAAGGCCAGAUAUUAAAUAUAAGAAACAUUUUACUUUCACACAUACAUACUAGUGACAAAUAAUUACUGAUUAAUUUGACUGAAUAUAUUAAUUCCAAUAGGAAAUAACUACAACACAAGCCACAAAAUAUGAAUUAAGAGGGAAAGAGAUAGUAAAUUCAAAUCACAUUGCAACUAUGUAUGAAGAUGGCAUAAGGAAUCUCAAUGAAAGCUGUUAUCAAUAGGAG